UACGUAGGGGGCAAGCGUUGUCCGGAUUUAUUGGGCGUAAAGAGCGUGUAGGCGGCUUUACAGGUCCGUUGUGAAAACUCGAGGCUCAACCUCGAAGACGCCGGUGGAAACCGUAAAGCUAGAGUCCGGAAGAGGAGAGUGGAAUUCCUGGUGUAGCGGUGAAAUGCGCAGAUAUCAGGAAGAACACCCGUGGCUAAGGCGGCUCUCUAGUACGGUACUGACGCUGAGACGCGAAAGCGUGGGGAGCGAACAGG
rnacentral:rRNA from 1 species